ensembl:lncRNA novel transcript
AACAUGCAGGGAGGACGCCAUGUGCAACCGUGGGCAGAGGCCGGGCUGAUGGGUCUACAAGCCCAGGAAAGUCCGAGAUUGCCAGCAAAACACCAGAAGCUGGGGGGAGGCAUGGAGUGGGUUCUUAGAAGGAACCCACCCUGCAACACCUACAUCUCAGACUUCAGCCUCUGAAACUGUGAGACAUAAAAUUUUCGUGCUUUAACCCACCCAGUUUGUAGAAUUUGUUACACAGCCAUGGCAAACAAAUGCACCCAAUGUCUAAAAGUCCUUUGAUUAACGACUCACAGUUAUCCUUUGAAAAUUCCCAGAAUAAAAUGCAAAUGUCAAGACUCACAGGAGUCAAGAUUCAAACCUUUUGUGUAUUUUAAGCAUCCACAUUUCACUCUUUUUGUUAAAAUAAGAAGAACCAUUCCAGGUCCAACUGUCUUCUGCAGACCUUCUGUGUGGAAUCUUUUCCUGGAGUUGGAAUAGCAGACUUGGGGAUGGUGCUGUGGGUUUGUUUGGUUUAUUGUUGAAAUCCCAAGAAAGAACUUUCAUUUGCAGCUGACUUGGCUGAGCCGGUGGACAAGAUUUCAGGAAGGAACUAAGCUCUGAGCUUUACUGAUAGGCUGGUAUGGAAAACCUUUCUGGACUCCUUAAAUAUAUCCUUCAAGAUUUUGACAUUUCUCUGAUUGGAACUGACAAAUAGAUCUUGGUAGGCCAAAGGUUCCACCCUUCACUCUAAAGCUAAGUUGGAAUCUCACUCUGUUGCCCAGGCUGGAGUACAAUGGCACGAUCUCAGAUCCACCUCCCGGGUUCAAGCGAUUCUCCUGCCUCAGCCUUCCAAGUAGCUGGGAUUACAGGGCAAAGUCUUCUAGAACCCAACCUGGUAACUGCACCUUUGGCCUGAUACCUCCCAAUUCUGAAAGAACAUAUCGAUGCUCAGCAGGGACAGAGGGAAGAAUCAACUCCCCAUCAUGGAAAAUAAAAUGUUCAGCUGGGCAAUAAUGAAGCAAAUGAGUAAUGCCCAGAAGACACUACAGAGAAUGUCUACUGGGGACUACAAACAGCCAUCAGUAUGGUGGAUUUGCAGAAGAAACUGCCCUAAGCUGUGUGUUAAAGGUGGAUGGGAAACCGGAGGAGGGCAUGGAAGGACAGGCCAGCUUCAGAGGAAACCCUUGGAAAUGGAUCCGCCCUCUAGCGGUUAACAAGGGAGCUGAGGAAUAAUGGGAUUUGACAUCAUUGGAAAGCACAGCCACACCCAAAAACAGGUGUGUGCACAAGAAUUUCUGAACACAGAUUUUACCAGCUACACCCACACCCUCAAUUCUACUUGAAAUUAAUCUUAAAGAAAUUUUGAAUUUGCUGAUAAUUUGAGAUCAGUAAAGAUUUUCCCUGAAAGUUCUAAGGACUUCGCUUGGGGUUUUGGAUUGGAUUCCAGAGGUUGGCACCUACGCUCUAAAAAAUCUAAACAGAAGGAGAAAAUAAAUCACCAACUGGCACUUUAAAGACAAAGAUUUAUACCAGAUUUAAUAAACUUCCUGUCUUGCUGA